AUCCUCCCCGGCAGACCCCCACGUCCUCCCGCCCCGUUCCUCCCGCACCUGUUCGCCGCCCUUCGCCCCACCACCCCCUCCUACUGGAGCCGCCCCCCGCUGGAUCCGCCCUUCGCCGCACCCCGUUGGAGCCGCCCCCUACCGCGCUGGAUCCGCCCUUCGCCCCCCCUCUCCCCCACGCCGCUGGAGCCGCCGUCUGAGCUGCCCUUUGCCGCAGGCCGCCGCCGUGCCGCUCGCCGUUGUUCCUCUUCUGCUUCACAUGAGACUACUGGUGCACGGGCGGGAGGAUUUCCCUAGCCCUGCCCCGUCCUCUCAUCUCUCGAUCUGAUUGAAGCCACGGCCUGGGAAUGGCAACUGAGUCGUCGGCGGUGGCCGACAUGCGGAAGGCGCCCUCCAUUGAGUGGCGGUGGGUGUCCGUGGGGAGGAGGAGGACGACAAGCUGGAGGGCCCGCGACCGUCGGGGCGGCGGGAAGGGGCUGCACCUUCGAGUUCGAGGACGAGGAGGACAACGUCGACUACGAGGACGAGGACGAGGAGCACCGGAAGGCCAGGAAACUCCUGUCACGCACGGCCACCGCCAAACUGCCUCGCGGCCAGCCCCGUCCGCUGGUGGCGAUCUUUGUGCCUCCAACCGAUGGCGAUGACCAUGCCUUUUUCAUGGAGCAGACGAUAUUGGAUCUGAGUUCGUGAAGGAGGAGCAAAUGGAUAUUUGGAUUUGUGUUGCUCCUUAUUAAUAUAUGUACAAACGUGUUUUCUUCAGGUUAUUACGGUUAACAGUGAUGAUCUAAUCUUAGAAGAUUUAAGUUCAUGAAGGAUAAUAAAAUUGGCGGCGUACCUGUAGCAGAAGGUCCUAAAAGGAAACUUUUGGUAGUGUGAGCAUAGGGAUAUUUGUUACGUCUUGAAGUUCAUGAAGGCUUACUCUUACUGAUUCAGGGGGCACCUGCAUUAUUCGGUGCAAUGACACCGUGGCAGCCAUGGAGAAUAUAUGCAUGAAGCCGUGAGCAGUAAGCAGCUUAGCUAUUUAUUAUUGUUGGCCUUUUAAGUUUGAUAGUAUUGCUGGAUUACCUGCAUAUUAGAUGAUGAAUAGCUUGAGAAAAGCAAACCUUAUCAGUUCUAAAAUGUGCUGUUUUUUAGCAUAACUAAUCGUCGUGUGCUUAUACCAAUUAUACACUGCUAGAUAGACAUGCAUAAGUAUGCAGGUUGACGCAUAAGUCAUUUUACAGUAUGAUGAUGGUAACAAUCAACUAAGCUUCAACAACUUAUAACUGCAUGGCGAGUGGUCGAAUGCAUGCCUCCCCACACCUCUGUCGAUCCUUUUUUUCUGGUAUAAACAGAAUCUCAUUGUGCCAUCUCACAUUGCCAAUACCAGCCCCUCAAAGUAGUAUUAUAGCCUCUAUCACUCAAAUAACUUGAUACAAUUUGUCUCCUAUCAUUUCAAAUGUGAUUGCCUUCUAUUCCGCAUUAUUUAAAGUUGUUGCCGAAACCUUCUCCAUGUAGUGCCUUUCCUCAUCAUAUGAGCUGCUAGCCCGCGCGCACUAGCUAAUUUUUGUUCACCCUUUCUUCCCUAUAAUCUUUCUCUCUGCUUUUACUUCGCGGUCCUGUAGCUGUAUAUUAGGAUGAUAUGCUGAGCACAUAUAAGAUCGUCACAAGCAAGAUAGCUGGACUAUGGAGUGCCUAGGGCAGUGGUAAUUCAUAAAUUGCAUGAUGUUUAAUGGGAAGCAUCUGAGAGUACCAAUGUCCAGUAGUAAGAUCUGAUUUUAUAGGUGAUCAAGCCAAUAUAAGUGUACGUGCAUCCCUUUUUAGUACAGAUUUAUAAAAAAUAUGAUAUAUGCUAUGAUAUUUUCCAGAACAGUUGGCCCUUGAUCUUGAGGCACUCAUGUGUAUUGCUUUUCUUCCUAGAGAAAUACAUGUCUAUUGAUUAUUAUUGGAAUUGGUUUGAAGAAACAGAGUAUGAUCUUCUUUCACAAGUAGUGAUCAUAAAACAACAGGGAGAGGCGUUUUAGCUCCCGGAGGGUGUUUCAGCGGUGUGCUUGAGGACGAGCGUUGACAGCGCGGGUGUCCGAUUUCCAGCGGCGCAGACAUGGCGAUGGAUUUCCCAUCUCUCCGGUAGACAGGUUGCCCAUCUUCCUGGAUGAGGCGGCUAGCGCGGUGGCCCUAAUGGAUUUGAUUGGUGGCGAAGAGGAAUCCGCCAAUGGAUCUUGUGGGGCUGUUGUCGCCGGAUUUGCGCAUGACUCAUCUGGGCAGUUCGUACGUGGUGUUGUGUGCAGCAAGGAGAGGACUGUAGCUACCGGUGGUGCCGCCAUGUCCGGUUUCAGUGAGAGCGAGGGUGACAACGCAGAUGCAAUUGACCAAGCCGACGACCAAAGCACAUAUUGAUGAACACCAAGAGGCUGUGAUUUAAGAUCGAACUGAAAGUGGUGAUGGAGGGUCUGCUCAAUCUACUACUUGCAAGGUGGAUCCGCAAGCCCCUGGGUGGACUUAGAGAGUAAGAGUCGGGAAUCAGCCAAUGGAUAGAGCCCCAUGCCCAGAAAGAUUAGACGCGCUGGAGGAGACAAUUCGAGGGCAUGCAGAUAAAUUGGGAGACCAUGUAGUUGAGCCUGCUAUUGGCUUAACAUUCAACUCCUUGGGUGAAGCAUAUGAUUUUUGCAACCUUUAUUCGUGGGAGCAUGGUUUUGGUAUCAGGACACCCUGUCCCAGCGGGCUCGGCACACUCUCCGCUCCGCUGAAAUUACAGGACACCCUGUCCCAGCAGGCUCGACACUCUCCGCUCCGCUGAAAUUACAGGACCGGACACUAUGUCUGGGAAGAAUUUGUGCACUGGAGCAAAUGAUUUAGGGGUAUACAGAUUAGUUGGGUGAGCACGGUGCUAUUGGGCUAACACUAGACCCUAUGUAAGAAACCUAUGGUUUUUACAAUCUUUAUUCAUGGAAGCAUGGUUUCACCAUUA